ensembl:lncRNA
CACCCAGUCUGUGGCCUUUUGUUACAGUAGCCCUAGGACACCAAUGCUAGAUAUUCUAUCCUAUAAAUAAAACCAGAAAAAAAAAAAAAAAAAGAGAAAAGAAAUGAGUUUAUUGUGGCUUUUUCCCACUCCAGAUCUACUAGAGUCUGAACUGUCAGUGGGAGAAAUUGGAGCGGGGCGUGGCACGGGUCCGGGCGGGCUCCCUGUGCGCUGUAGCCUGGGGCACUGCUAGACCCAGGUGCUGCUGGGAGAGGAAUGAGCGUUGUAAAUGGUGAGCGGUGGUUACAGAAGCCUCUGUCCUUCCAUGCCGAGAGAAGUCCCACUGAAAAAUGACUGCAGUGUGCCACAGGCCAAGUUACCCAUCUCAGCCAGUAGAACAGGAAUAGGAGACGCCUGGGCAACUGAAUUUAUCAGUGGCAUUCAGAGACCGCUGGCGGAUCUGGGGAGCUCUGAUUUCUUCCCUGGGGAAGGUGGCCUGGCUGAGCAGGUAAACGGUGACCCACCACUGCCUCCACGCCUUUGCCCAGGCUGUUCCCUUCCCCUGGAAAACUUCCUCUGCCAACCCUCUACCCAGCCCUUCUCAGUCACCUUCCACCUCCCAAAUGACCCAACUUGAGUCUUAUCUGCUCCAGGACAGUGUCCCUGACCAAUGCCAGCUCACAGUUCCACUUUCCUAGUCUGAAACCCUACGCACCUUGUGAAGUUAUUCUUUGUUGUGAGGAGUAAUGGAGAUGAGCUACAAUAAAUCUCCCGUCAUCAAGCCUAAAAUGUGACAGGUACUCAAAAGUCAGAAGUAUCAUGAGUAUGUUGAAAAUCAGAUGAACAGAAAGCAAAAUGAAAGUUAAAAUGUAGAGAGAUUUUUUUGUGUGUGUGGAAAGUUUUCAUUUUGAAACAUUAGGAUUCUUCUGGGACAUCAUAAUAAUAGCAAAGGCCUAUGUGCCAGGUGUGGUCCUAAGCACUCACUAGGUGCCAUCUCCUUUGUUCCCUGCAAUGGCCCAGGAGGCGAGUCCUGCUCUGUUCCUGUGUGGCAAGGACAGAAAGCAGGGGGCGUGGUCACGGAAUUUAAACCCAAACGCCUAACCCCUCCCGCAGCCUCUGGCUCUCCUCUGACCCUAAGCACAGACCCUGCAGGAUCGGAAGGUCACCUAAAUUUCCUUUCACUGAGGCCCAAGGACCUAGUCACUUUAGGUUGGCUGUUCUGUCUGGUGUGGCCAGCAGAGUUAAACAUGGAAAUGGGAUUUUUUUUCCUCUUACAUGUGUUCGUUUUAGCAGUUGAAAUUCAUGAUUAAAGUGUCCUAUAAGCAGUUUGAUUUUAACUUUGUCUCCUUGGCCGUGUGAAUCUUCACUCUUUUCCUUCCACAGGAAACUAGAUUUAUUUUCUUUGUUGUGGAAAUUAGACGUAGAUGAAAUGUUGUUUUCUUUAUAAAAAUAAAGUGGCACUCAGACUUGAAAAGUGAGUGAGACUCUGUUCUUUCAGGAGGCGGAGGGGAUUUCCCCAGCUGAACUGGAGCAGGUCUGGGUUGAUCCAGAGACAGAGCAUCAGGGUCUCCUGCAAUGCCCAGUUCAGGAGCAGCCACACUAAGCAACAGCUUCUCAUGUGAGAGGCAGAGCUCCAGCACUCUGCUGUGACGGUGAGUUGCCCCAGCCGCCCCAGAGAGGCGUGUCAGGUCCUGGAGCGGCCCAGCUCCCUGCGGGGGUCACUCAGUGGUCGCUCAUGACCCCCCUCCAGGUUUGUCUCAAUGAGCCUCCAAGGGAGGUGAGGCACUGGGAC